UGCGAAGGGGGCUAGCGUUGCUCGGAAUCACUGGGCGUAAAGGGUGCGUAGGCGGGUCUUUAAGUCAGGGGUGAAAUCCUGGAGCUCAACUCCAGAACUGCCUUUGAUACUGAGGAUCUUGAGUUCGGGAGAGGUGAGUGGAACUGCGAGUGUAGAGGUGAAAUUCGUAGAUAUUGCAAGAACACCAGUGGCGAAGGCGGCUCACUGGCCCGAUACUGACGCUGAGGCACGAAAGCGUGGGGAGCAAAGCAGGG
rnacentral:rRNA from 1 species